GUGGGUGUAGCUCAGGGGUAGAGCACGUGCUUAGCAGGCAGGAGGUCCUGGAUUCAAUCCCCAGUAUCUCCA
rnacentral:tRNA from 1 species